CUCUCCAGAAAGAGGGAGUUGAGAGAAAUUGUUCCCACCGGUCUAAUUACAGAGUGCUAAGUAAAUACUCAACAUAGAAUCGGUAAGGAGAGCCCGUCUGUGAGCCUAUCACAUGUGGAGAGGACAGUUUCAUUUCAUUUUCUGCAAAUGCCUGGUUCUCUCAAGAAUCCUUCAGCCCCAGUAGAAGCGCAUAGCACUUCAAGAAAAAAGCAGUGUACCAACAAUCAACUGGACAAGUAGAUAAUGCAGGAGAGUGGUCUGAGCUCUUGGGACCAUCAUCAAAACAACAUUUUUCUUGCUGGCUGGCUCCAGAAGAUAGCAAUCUCCUAUCCUUACAUGAAACAUUCUUUGGAACUGAAGACAGCAUAGAGCAGUACAAGGAUACAGUAAUUGAAAGAAGUACAUUUCUUUUUCCUACAUAAAAAUUCGGAGUUACAAUAUUUCUGAACACCAAUACAUAUUUGGAAACUAAAUUGAGGUUGAUGGUGGAGAGAGCAAGUUGCAGAGGUGAGAAACACUCUAGACAGAAGCAUGUAUCUGUGGGUAUGUGUGUGUGUUGGGGCAGGGGCGAUGAGAGUUGGGUGGUGUCAUUUUUCAUUCAUGUCUUAUUUAGCUUCUCCUGUUUCGAGGACUUUGUUUUUUUUGUUUGUUUGUUUUUUUGUUUUUUUGGUUUUUUUUACAGUCAAUUUCAGAGACACUGUCUACGUCCUCAAGAGAAGACGGCCUAACAAGACUUGAAGCCUCAGACCCUUCGAGUUUUCUGGCUGUUGUGGCUCUCUUCACUAUUGCAUUGGAGGAAAUCUGGCCAUCCCUAGUGAAAGGGAGAAGAACAGUUCCAGCCAUUAGAAGAGUUCAGUAAAUGAGCCACCAUCUGCCUGUACAUGAACCAAGUGGAUGAGAAGGCAGAUCUCAGCUGGUGUGUAGUCCAAGAAGAGUUCGUGAUGUCUCAGAUUUCAGAGCCUCCUUUUCCUCAAGGACAUGAACCACACUCUUAGUUCACUAUCCUUCUAUUUGGGAAGACAGCCCGAUGGUUGGACCUCUUGAAAUCACAUGCUGAUGACUGGCGAGCAUAUUUAUUUUUCCUCGUAUGAAAUAUUGUUUUUUUUGGGGGGGGGAAUGCACCUUCCUCCUUAAAACUGCAAUAUUAUGUAUGUUCUAUUAUGGUGUCAGGGAGGAUGGGCUGAGGAAAAAUACACUGAACCAGGCUUGAUUCUUAGCCCUGUGGGGAAGAUAUUGUGUCAACAAAUAGUUUCUUCACUUUGUGCCUCAGUUUCUCCUUCUUUCAGAUUGAGAGAUUUUUUUUCUUACAUGUCAAAUAAA